rnacentral:rRNA from 2 species
UGGGGCGGUUGCCUCCCAAAGAGUAACGGGUUCCCAUACCGAACACGGAAGUUAAGCUCUUCAGCGCCGAUGGUAGUUGGGGGUUUCCCCCUGUGAGAGUAGGACGCCGCCAAGCU